UUUUUUAUAGUGUAAUUUUUAACACAUUACAUUUUCAAUGUAAAGAUGAAGAUCAUACUUCUUCUAAAAAUA
rnacentral:tRNA from 1 species